UAAAAACGACUCUCGGCAACGGAUAUCUCGGCUCUCGCAUCGAUGAAGAACGUAGCGAAAUGCGAUACUUGGUGUGAAUUGCAGAAUCCCGUGAACCAUCGAGUCUUUGAACGCAAGUUGCGCCCGAAGCCAUCCGGCCGAGGGCACGCCUGCCUGGGCGUCACACAUC
rnacentral:rRNA from 4 species